UGGGGAAUAUUGGACAAUGGGCGCAAGCCUGAUCCAGCCAUGCCGCGUGAGUGAUGAAGGCCCUAGGGUUGUAAAGCUCUUUCACCGGUGAAGAUAAUGACGGUAACCGGAGAGGAAGCCCCGGCUAACUUCGUGCCAGCAGCCGCGGUAAUACGAAGGGGGCUAGCGUUGUUCGGAUUUACUGGGCGUAAAGCGCACGUAGGCGGACUUUUAAGUCAGGGGUGAAAUCCCGGGGCUCAACCCCGGAACUGCCUUUGAUACUGGAAGUCUUGAGUAUGGUAGAGGUGAGUGGAAUUCCGAGUGUAGAGGUGAAAUUCGUAGAUAUUCGGAGGAACACCAGUGGCGAAGGCGACUUUCUGGUCUGUAACUGACGCUGAUGUGCGAAAGCGUGGGGAUCAAACAGG
rnacentral:rRNA from 1 species